UUGCCCCCUGGGUUGAGAAUCGGGCCGUCCAGCAUCCCUGAGGCUGGGCUUGGAGUGUGGAAUGAGGCAGCUGAUUUGCCUGUGGGUCUGCACUUUGGCCCUUAUGAAGGACACAUCACAGAAGAUGAGGAGGCAGCCAACAGCAGAUACUCCUGGCUGAUCACCAAAGGGAGAAACUGCUAUGAGUAUGUGGAUGGAAAGGACAGAUCCUGGGCCAACUGGAUGAGGUUUGUGAACUGUGCCCGGGAUGAUGAAGAGCAGAACCUGGUGGCCUUUCAAUACCAUGGGCAGAUUUUCUACCGAACCUGCCGGGUCGUCAGGCCAGGCUGUGAGCUGCUGGUCUGGUUCGGGGAUGAGUAUGGCCAGGAGCUGGGCAGCAAGUGGGGCAGCGAGUGGAAGACAGAGCUCGCGGCCGGGAGAGGUGGGCACCACUGUUCUUCAAAACAGAAAGAAAAGAGAGAAUUCUCCAUAGAAAUAUUCA